GCCAGAAUCACAGAUUCAAGAAUCAAGAACUGGUUACAAGAUCAGAGGAUUCUUUAUUUCGCUCUAUUAAUCGAAACCCUCGAUCUUGAUAACAGAGGGAAAGGGGAGAAGAAAGGAACCUGAUGAGGACGUCGUCGUCGUCGUCGUCGUCGUGGGAAGAGGAGCGAUCAUCGUCUGAUUUGCUCCAUCUGAAGCCUCUCACGCUCCAGAAUCCCCUCGACGCUCUCCUCUUCCGUCGCUCUCCCCCUCUUCUAGUGCGAGCGCUGCUUCGAAGGUGGAUAUAAGCGCUCGUGCCGAGGGAACGGUGCUUUCGCCGCUCCCAGUUUCCCGUUUGGUAUCUCCCG
rnacentral:lncRNA from 1 species